rnacentral:rRNA from 1 species
UACGUAGGGGGCUAGCAUUGUCCGGAUUUAUUGGGCGUAAAGAGCGUGUAGGCGGCCAGGUAGGUCUGCUGUGAAAACUCGAGGCUCAACCUCGAGAUGUCGGCGGAAACCAUCUGGCUAGAGUCCGGAAGAGGAAAGUGGAAUUCCUGGUGUAGCGGUGAAAUGCGCAGAUAUCAGGAAGAACACCCGUGGCGAAGGCGGCUUUCUGGGACGGUACUGGACGCUGAGACGCGAAAGCGUGGGGAGCGAACAGG